rnacentral:rRNA from 1 species
UACGAAGGGGGCUAGCGUUGCUCGGAAUCACUGGGCGUAAAGCGCGCGUAGGCGGCCUCUUAAGUCGGUGGUGAAAUCCUGGAGCUCAACUCCAGAACUGCCUUCGAUACUGAGAGGCUCGAGUCCGGGAGAGGUGAGUGGAACUGCGAGUGUAGAGGUGAAAUUCGUAGAUAUUCGCAAGAACACCAGUGGCGAAGGCGGCUCACUGGCCCGGUACUGACGCUGAGGUGCGAAAGCGUGGGGAGCAAACAGG